rnacentral:rRNA from 1 species
CAGUCGCCGCGGUAAUACGAAGGGGGCUAGCGUUGUUCGGAUUUACUGGGCGUAAAGGGCGCGUAGGCGGACUGAUAAGUCAGGGGUGAAAUCCCAAGGCUCAACCUUGGAACUGCCUUUGAUACUGUUUGUCUUGAGUUCGAGAGAGGUAAGUGGAACUGCGAGUGUAGAGGUGAAAUUCGUAGAUAUUCGCAAGAACACCAGUGGCGAAGGCGGCUUACUGGCUCGAAACUGACGCUGAGGCGCGAAAGCGUGGGGAGCAAACAGGAUUAGAUACCCCAGUAGUCCCUGUCUCUUAUAA